CAGAGGGGGGCUUGGGUGGGCUUGAGGCGGUAGUACUUCUUCUGAGAAGUAACCACACAAUACUGAGAGGCAACAACUUUAACUGACAACGUUCUGCCCGCCGUGUGAUCAGGCCACAGGAAACCCACAGAGAAAAACGCACAUCCGUGCAAGUGGACUACAUUUGCAGCUCACACUGCUGCAAGACACACGGAUGAGAACACUAAUGCAGGGUACCAGCAAGACCUCCAAGAAGAAGGUAUGGUCUUCCUACAGCUGGAGAAAUACAAGGCCGAGCACCAUCAGCAGCAGCUCAGUCACAUACAAUGAGACGACACAUGAAGUACCUCAGGUUGUCACACUGCACCAAAUCCAAAGAUCCAAGGGCUCUGUCGUGACAUUCAGAGAGUAUAGUAGACACAGAUGAACCGAUUGGUAUUAGGACUUUUCUUUCACUGUUUUUCUUUCAGUGCACGCAAACAGAAUACCAGCCUGGACUUCAGAACCAACAAAAGCACGGGUCAGGAGGCCGGGUGGGUCAUCUCCUCUCUUCUAGUUUAUCAUCUGUGUCAGAAAAAAGCUCCACAACCUGAUCAGCAAACACCUCAAAGAAGACAGCAUGGGGAUGAAGAUGUGUGCUAUGCUGCACUGGAAAUCCAACAGACAUCACACAGACCAAAGAAGAAGUUCUGACUUCAGCACCUACUCUGGCAUCAACACUCUACACAAGGAUGUAGAGUCUAAAAAAGGAAAAUAACAACCACAAUUGUUACGUUCCCUGCUCUCAGGCAACGUAACAAAAACAAACGCGAGGGAAAAUAAGGAAACUAUUAGAGAAUAAUCAAGAAUGUAUUAGUUUUAAACAUUGUGGCAGCCAAACCAGCCACAUGCCUCUUUCCCUCUCCCGAUCCCCCUGGAUGAUGGUUUUAAAGGGGCCGGCGCUGAUGGUGCACCCAAUCAAGAUGGACCCCCAACUAAGCCUUCUGCUGGGCUGCCUGCAGAACACGGAAAAGAAAGAUACACAGGCCACCAACAAUGGUCAGGGAUGACAACAUCUAACAAUUUGAACAUUUGGAGUCAAAUAGACCAUAGGGAGAAAUAUGCUUUAGGGCGGGGCUAACUGUGAUUGACGGACUACAAAUCAAUUUCCAACCUAUUUUGAUUGACUUCUUCCCCACUUACUCUGAGGAGCACUGUAAACUCCUCACAUCCCUCCAUUUUUGACUGGACUAGGAGUUUUCCCACCUUCAAACCUUUCCCACGGUGUCAUUUCUGUUAAGGGAUAUCGACCAUUCUGUCACUUAUCUUCCGCCAUUUAAAUCUGACAGGCAAUCCUUAUUUAUGGCUUGUAUAUUACCUACAACAUGUUUUGCCGAAAAUACUGUUUGCUUAAUUUCCUCACAACACUUUUAAUAAAUAUAACUUUUUAAAAACCUU